GUCGGUGGCGAUAGCACGUUGAAUACACCAGUUUCUAAUGGUUCACUGGAGUUAAGCAACGUUGUGCAUGGUUGGUAUUUGGGUGGGUGACCAUCUGAGGAAUUUGGCACUGCUGGCU
rfam:Asian citrus Psyllid, Diaphorina citri - Florida Strain, whole genome shotgun sequence.